rnacentral:lncRNA from 1 species
AAAAAAAAGGUUAAGGCCAAAUAAGUACAGUAUAGUUUUUCUCGAGUAAUUUAAACAUAUGGCAUGAUAUCAAGUAUAAAAAAAGAAAGUUAAAAAAAAAAAAAAUUACAUGCAUAUUUUAUUUUCACUCAUCGGCUUUGUUAAUAAAUGAUCAACAUGCAUGCAAAACGGUUUGAGUGGACCAUGCCUAUUUUGACACCCUAAAGAAGACUGAUGCAUCUUAGUAGAACAAAAUUUAUUGUUCGAGUUUGUCAUAUUUUGGGAUUUU